AAAUUCAUUUCAUGGCGUUUUGACACGUGUUUAAUUGAAAAACCGCAGCUUUUCAUUAAACUUUAACAUCUUGGGCUCAUCGAACCCUACGACUGCAACGAAGAACGUGGAAACGGCUGUGUUCAUAAGCAGAGGAAGAGAAGAGGCUUCGAUGGACGACGAAUCAGAUCUACUCCAUAUGCAGAUGGCUCAUCUGCCGCUGCGUCUCCGGCUUGGCCGCUGCGUCUCCGAACUAUCCCUCUCAGAUGAAUCUCCAAGGCGUCGCGAAAAGUUAACCGAAGGCUUCAAUCUUAAACCCGUUUCCUUCAUGGCUCAGUUCCAUAGCUCAUGACCUGAUUGUAAUUUAUACGCUUUUUGGGUUUCUGCAAACGAAGAAGUAUUGUGUACUGCUUGAUAUCAAGGAGAAAACUUUGAAGAAGCUAUCUAAGCAGCAGCUUUAAGGUUUGCGUGUGUGGACCGUGGUCAGACAGAGAAUAGCUGUUGUGUGAAGUGUCCAUUCUGUGAGAGGUUUGCGUGUGUGGACCGUAAUGUUCCUUGGCAUGAAUCUAUGAGCAGUGAAGAGUUUCAGAUUCUUCAGGUUCAUUAAAUAUAUCAAGAUGAUAUCAUAUUGCAUCGCUUGGCUAGGUAUAAGAGGUGGAGACGAUGUCAGCAAUGUCGUGUAAUGAUUUUAAUUGCUCAAGGCUGCAACCACAUGACUUGCCGGUAAGACAUACACCCAUAGAACGUUUCAUAUCUAUAUAUUGUUUGGCUUUGUGGUUUCUUAUAUCAAUGUUGAGAUAUCUCUUUGUGUUCUUUGUAUGUGUGGGCAUGAAUUUUUCAACUGUUGUGGAGCAGAGUACAGUGAAAGACAACAGAGUUACACUUGUGCUUUGUGGUGGAUUGUUGCAGGAAGUUUACAGAGGAAAGCAACUCCAUCAUCUUGUCUACAAGAGGAAGGCUAAACAAGUUGAAGACUUUAGCAAUUGUGAGCAAAUGAUAUAGGUCCCGUGGCUGAGGCAUGGUGAUGACGUGGUAUGUGUUAAAGCUUCGGCCUUUCAUUUUUUGGUUCAUCGUUUUUAGGAGACUCGAGGGCAACGAGCUUGAUGGUAUGAGUUUCUCUGAUAGGGUUGUUGGUGCGUGUGUGUUUUGUACGCUGAACUUGAAUAAUGAUAUCUUUUUUUUUGUUUUUUUUUGUCACAAGAAUAAUGAUAUCUACUUAUGAUUUUUUUAA